GGCGUGAUGACAACCCAUCCCUUAGCUGCAUGCCGAUCCCCCGUGAGGCAUUGAUUUUUCAGCCUGAGG
rnacentral:snoRNA from 1 species